rnacentral:lncRNA from 1 species
UAAUCUCUGUUUUCUCUUUCAGAAUAAUAGGUUAUUCCCCUCUGUCCUGAGUUCUGUUUGAAAAACUGAGAGUUCUAGAACUUUGCAAAAGCUCCUCUAUUGUUCCGAGAUGAGCAUUUUUCUGGGGUGAACUGGGCAGAGGUUUGACUGGCAAGCAGCUCUGGGUGUACAUUUCAUCCAACAGUCUCAUGGUGGUCGAAGGAGAUCCCCAGAUGCAAAAUCAAAGUUGCUUGGAUUUCCAUUUCUUCCCCAUCUAGGAAAAGGGCAAUGGAAUCAAAGCUUUUAAAAAAUGUAGUAAGAGAAAGACUCUCUAAUUGAUCAGAACCUUCUGGCAACCAGCACUUUGGCCCAUCUACUGAACAAUACUUUAUCAGUGUCUUUAGUAAAGGCCCCCAAGAUGCACAAUACGUUUUUGGUUGUUGAAAUAGAGUGUCUUCUAAGUCAUCAAGUAAAAGAGAAAUUCUGCUCAGAAGACUUUUGGAGAAGACAUGCUGUAAAAAAUAAGGCAAGGCUAUGUCUGAUGGAUUUCUAGACUGCACAGUCCAGUAGAUUACAUGAGAGGAUCAAUAA